GGUCAAGAAAGAAAGAGCAAAGGGCGAAUGCCUUGGCACUGGGCGCCGACGAAGGACGCGGUAAGCGGCGAAACGCUACGGGGAGCUGCAAGCAAGCCUUGAUCCGUAGAUAUCCGAAUGGGGCAACCCACGUCAGGAGAACCUGACGUAUCCAUGAGUGAAUUCAUAGCUGAUGGAAGGGAGACCGGGGGAACUGAAACAUCUAAGUACCCCGAGGAAGAGAAAGAAACAUCGAUUCCCCGAGUAGCGGCGAGCGAAACGGGAAGAGCCCAAACCAUAUGGUUUCGGCCAUAUGGGGUUAGGACAUUUUCAUGAGGCGUUGAGUACCGAUAGUCGAAUCGUCUGGGAAGGCGAGUCAAAGAGGGUAAGAACCCCGUAGACGAAAUUGGGAAAGACGUUGAGAAUGCUCCAGAGUACCACCGGACACGAGAAACCCGGUGGGAAUGCGGGGGGACCACCCCCCAAGGCUAAAUACGACCCAGUGACCGAUAGCGAAUAGUACCGUGAGGGAAAGGUGAAAAGAACCCCGGGAGGGGAGUGAAAGAGAACCUGAAACCCUUUGCUUACAAGCUGUGGGAGCCCAGCACUCAAUUUUGUUGAUUAGGAGGUAGACACAUGCAUUAUGUCUAUGUACUAAAGAAUGAAAAAGAGGAAAUCUAUGUCGGACAAAGCAAAGACAUUAAAGAAAGAGUUCGACAACACAACGCUGGAACCAACAAAAGCACAACAAAUCAACAAUGGACACUAGUAUAUUACGAAGCAUAUAGAAGUAGAGACGAUGCCUUGAUUCGAGAAAAGAGACUAAAACAACAUGGGCAGGCCAAAAGACAACUCAAAGAAAGAAUCAAAAGCAGUCUCAACCCUAGUGAACAAAAUUGAGUGCUGGGUGACCGCGUACUUUUUGUAGAACGGGCCAACGAGUUGCGAUUGGUAGCCAGGUUAAGUUCUUAAGGAACGGAGCCGCAGCGAAAGCGAGUCUUAAGAGGGCGACAUAGUUACCGGUUGCAGACCCGAAACCGUGCGAUCUACCCAUGGCCAGGUUGAAGCGAGAGUAAAAUCUCGUGGAGGACCGAACCAGGUGACGUUGAAAAGUCAUUGGAUGAGCUGUGGGUAG
rnacentral:rRNA from 1 species